CUCCCUUCCCUCUCCCUCUCCCUCCCGUUACCGCAACUUAAUGCGCCCCUAAUGACCAUUAGAGCUCCAGUAAUGGCCGCCAUUAGGGUGCCCUAAAGCCGCUGCUCCCGCACGCACCUGGAUACCCCCUCUCCCUAUAAAACCCGCCCCCGUGACGCCCAGUUUCCCCUCGUCCGAAGCCCCAUCAUAUGAUCAUAUGGGCACUCCUGCCUCACUCUCUCUCGCGGAACUGCUCGCGGAGUAACUAACUCGCUGCUGCCGUUCUGGAGCGCGAUGUCCGCGAGCGUCGCGUCCAUCCGGAGCUCCGCCAAGUCCGGCGGCCUUCCACCACCGCCACAGAACGAGGACGUGUCCGGGAACUUGUCUACAGAACUCCCUUCGACCUCCUCUACGCCGUUCAACCAUUCGUUGACGCCGGAUGCCAUCUUCUCCAACUCCGGCGGAACUCCGAUCUCGACAGAUUAAGAGAUGAUAGGGUUAUGGCCUACACUCAAUGAGCCAAGUGGCGUUGAUGGAGCCCUAACUUAGCGACAUGCAUGUUAUUUUGCUAUAUUACGCGCCAGCAUUGAGUUGUGCCAAUGCUUUGAUCCAGGGAUAGCACAAUAAGCACGAAGAUUUGGAUUCUACCAAAUCUGAGUUGUUACAACUAGCCACUGAAGCGUUAAAGUGUGCCGGCUCUCAUGUCUAUCUUUUCCUCCUCAAACGAAUGGACAUAAUAAUGGUUCAAUGGGAAUAUAUAUAUAACAAAUAGACGGAAAUGCAAUUGUCUCUUUCCAUAGCAUAUAACUUGGAAAGGAAUCUGUGUUGCAUGCGGUGUCGGUGUUUUACGUGAGAUGUUAUACUCCUGAUGCUAUCACUGGAUCAGUACUGCUGGUUAAAUUCCUCUAUAUCUAUCUACCUAUCCCCAAGUGAAACAUAUCAUGAUCGACCGAGGAACAAGACACCAACGUUAGCAUGUUUCUAUAGCUACCGUUUAGCGACAGCAUGUUCACCACACAAUGCACUAACUAGCUUCCUAUUUAAACACCUCCUCCCUGGAAUUCAUCUUCUUCUCAUCCAAUAUUUUCCUCCCUCUCCAACAACCAUUCUCCUCUUCCCUCGCAAAGAAAAACAACCCUCCUCGAUAUAGCUAUAGAAACGUACCUUGUGCUCCUCCAGCACGCAGUGCACUAGCUAGCUGCUCGCCUAUUUAACCACCACCUGCAUGUUCUUCUCAUCCCAUAGUUAUCUCCCUCUCUAUCAACCCUCCUCCUUGAUGCUUCUCUCCCUUACCUCUACAUACCCACACACAAGUGUGCCUCUUCUAUAGCAGAAGUUCGACUGCCUGAUCUUUGGUAAGCUCUAGUCCUCCUUGUUUCUGUUUGUCUUCAUUAUAAGCGCCAAGGUUCUCACACACGCGAAAACACUGUAGACCUCGGCGACACGCUCUACCCACUCUCAUUCGGGAUAUUUCAUAUUGUUUGAACGAACAUAGAGGUAUAUAUGGUGUCUUGCUAUCCACGCGCAUGCUUUCGUUUAUGUUUUUGAUUUUUUUAAGUUAAUGCAUGUCUAUUAUUCGCUGCCAUGCGUUUUGUAGAUUACAUGAUGCAAAAGCAUCAAAAGGUCCAAUGUUUCCAUCGUAUGCCCUCAGCUGUAUAAAAAUUAUGGCACUAUCGGAUGAGCUUAUACGCAACAUCGAUCACUCGUUCCAAUUGAAUUACCCCUUUUUUCUCACAUCUCACAACUCAGUUUUCUUCUCAGGCCAUCGGAUAUGACAUUGAAUAGGACGAAUUUCAUAGGUUUGUCCAUGGAAGUGGACUGCCCUACAACAGCAUCAAGAGCGAUGAUCUUCUUAGUAACAUGCCUAAGAAAAUGUGCAUCCGUAAUCUCAUAUAUGCCAACUAGUUCUCAACAACAUGCAUCCAGAAAACAAAACAACAACCAUGGGAAGGGGCUGCCAACCCUGAGAUAUUUGGCAUCAGCACAUUUGGCCCGAUCAGUCGGCGAGGUCGACAAGCUAGCUAGGACCCCACCCAGUGCAAUCAAGGCCAUGAAGACAACCCUAGAAAUGUUCAACGUCAACUGGUAUGUCUGUCAUCUUCCAACAUUUUGGUCGAUUUGUAUUCUACUUGACCAUGUGCUAACCAGAGGUGGCUCUGUAUUGUUGGAUAUAAAUUUCCGAAUACUAACAAGAGUGUUGGAUAGAUUUCGGAAUACUGACCACACCUCUUGUUAGUAUUCCAAAAUUUAUCAAACAAUACUGAUCCACCUCUGGCCGGCAAAUGACCAAGUAGAAUACAAAUCGACCGAAAUGUUGCAAGACGACAGACAUACCACCUUGGAGGGGUCGACGAUGAACAUUUUUAGGGCUUCCUUCAUGGUCUUGAUUUUUGUCUUGCACUUGACGGGGGACCUAGGCAGCUUGUCGACCCUGCCACCUGAUCGGGCUCCAGCGGGUGUUCAAAGUCUCGAAGCAGAUGAUCCCAUCGAAGCAAACCUCCAAACCCAGCCUCUUAAGAACUUGUCGCAUGACAACGUAUGCGCAUGUUCUUGAGCAUGUGCCUGAGAAGAUCAUCGUGCUUAUGUUGUUGGAGGGCAGUCCACUUCCAUGGACAAAGCUGUUAGACACGAACAUGAUUUAUUUAUUUGAGAAGCAGGACAAAGCGGAUGUUAGAGCAGAGCACUAGAGAGUCAAAUUGGUAUGAGGAUUGAGGAAGGGUGUUUAAUUAGUGCGCUCAUGUACGUGCUAUAAAAGUCGUUGUAAUUAAUAUCGUAUCCGAUGAACUGAGAACAAAAUUGAGUUG